rnacentral:tRNA from 1 species
AUCUAAAUAGUUUAAAUAAAAUUUUAAUUUGUGGAGUUAAAGAUAUCUAGCAGUUUUUAGGUA